GUGAACGCUGGCGGUAGGCCUAACACAUGCAAGUCGAACGGCAGCACAGAGGAGCUUGCUCCUUGGGUGGCGAGUGGCGGACGGGUGAGGAAUACAUCGGAAUCUACUCUUUCGUGGGGGAUAACGUAGGGAAACUUACGCUAAUACCGCAUACGACCUCCGGGUGAAAGCAGGGGACCUUCGGGCCUUGCGCGAUUGAAUGAGCCGAUGUCGGAUUAGCUAGUUGGCGGGGUAAAGGCCCACCAAGGCGACGAUCCGUAGCUGGUCGGAGAGGAUGAUCAGCCACACUGGAACUGAGACACGGUCCAGACUCCUACGGGAGGCAGCAGUGGGGAAUAUUGGACAAUGGGCGCAAGCCUGAUCCAGCCAUACCGCGUGGGUGAAGAAGGCCUUCGGGUUGUAAAGCCCUUUUGUUGGGAAAGAAAAGUAGUCGGUUAAUACCCGAUUGUUCUGACGGUACCCAAAGAAUAAGCACCGGCUAACUUCGUGCCAGCCGCCGCCGUAA
rnacentral:rRNA from 1 species